GUAACGUCCCAUUAGCUUUGAUGGAGUUUAAACCCCAGAUACACUCUCAUACAUUUAACAACCACUUUGAUCUAUGCUAAUACACAGGGGAAUUGACCUGGGGCUCUGGCAUGAGCUGGCACCUAGUCUGCCAGCAUCACAAUCUGCGAGGUACCAGGGCAGGGCGGCCUUCUCUGUGUCUAGCUCCCGAUCUGGAAGAGGCGGGAUGAGGACGAGACCAACCAGCAGGGGGCGUGAGAGGAGAGCAGAGUGCUACAGAUGUUUACCACCAUCCUCUCCAGGGAACCGGAGGAGAGACUGGGACGCUGCCCCCCACAGCUGGAUGGCGCUUUUCGUCCCUGGCCUAGCACAAUGCACAGUACGUGCCAGCAGGACUCAGCCCGAUCAGCUUCUCCACCAGCCUCCGAGGGGACAGUGGGAUGGAGUCUCGCAUCACCCAGUGCCCUUCUGCUGGUCUCUGGCUGCACACAGGCCCCAGCAAACCUUGGCCUGUGCCCGUGGCAGAGGAAGCCGGUCCCGCCUGGAAAACUCUUCAGGGAACCCAGGCUGUUCCCCUCAUCUCACGUCCCGCUGACGUCCCCAUUCCAGCUGUACUGCUGUUGGCUGGUUGCUGGAGCAGACCCUGCCCUGGGCACAGUGGCUAGCGAGGCUUGGAGCAGGAACGGCCUCUCUUCUACUUGCCAGCCCUUAUGUAUAUUAAAGGAGUUCAGGCCUGUUUUUUA